GAGCUGUGAAGAACUUUGCGUUGGAUGUGAUGAUUAGGGUCUAUCACCCACUGGUCUGACUCUUUAGACGAAAUAUAAUGCAUCUGAGCUC